AAUGUAACGCUGGCGGCGUGCCUAACACAUGCAAGUCGAGCGAGAAAGUCCCCUUCGGGGGCGAGUAAGCGGCGCACGGGUGAGUAACGCGUGGGUAACCUGCCCUUGAGUGGGGGAUAACCAGCCGAAAGGCUGACUAAUCCCGCAUACGACCGGCAGACACAAGUCUGUCGGGGAAAGAUGGCCUCUGCUUGCAAGCUAUCGCUCUUGGAUGGGCCCGCGUUGGAUUAGCUAGUUGGUGGGGUAACGGCCUACCAAGGCUGCGAUCCAUAGCUGGUUUGAGAGGACGACCAGCCACACUGGAACUGAGACACGGUCCAGACUCCUACGGGAGGCAGCAGUGAGGAAUAUUGCGCAAUGGGGGAAACCCCUGACGCAGCGACGCCGUGUGAGCGAUGAAGGCCUUCGGGUCGUAAAGCUCUGUCAGAGGGAAAGAAAGGGUCGGCGGAAUAAUACCCGCCGACAUUGACGGUACCCUCGGAGGAAGCACCGGCUAACUCCGUG
rnacentral:rRNA from 1 species